AAACGUAGGAGGCGAGCGUUAUCCGGAUUUACUGGGUGUAAAGCGCGUGCAGGCGGUUCUGCAAGUGGGACGUGAAAGCGCCCGGCUCAACCGGGCGAGGCCGUUCCGAACUGCGGGACUGGAGGCAGGUAGAGGCGUGUGGAAUUCCGGGUGUAGUGGUGAAAUGCGUAGAGAUCCGGAGGAACACCAGUGGCGAAGGCGACACGCUGGGCCUGGCCUGACGCUCAGACGCGAAAGCAUGGGGAGC
rnacentral:rRNA from 1 species